rnacentral:rRNA from 1 species
UUAUCGGAGAGUUUGAUCCUGGCUCAGGACGAACGCUGGCGGCGUGCCUAAUACAUGCAAGUCGAGCGGACAGAUGGGAGCUUGCUCCCUGAUGUUAGCGGCGGACGGGUGAGUAACACGUGGGUAACCUGCCUGUAAGACUGGGAUAACUCCGGGAAACCGGGGCUAAUACCGGAUGGUUGUUUGAACCGCAUGGUUCAAACAUAAAAGGUGGCUUCGGCUACCACUUACAGAUGGACCCGCGGCGCAUUAGCUAGUUGGUGAGGUAACGGCUCACCAAGGCAACGAUGCGUAGCCGACCUGAGAGGGUGAUCGGCCACACUGGGACUGAGACACGGCCCAGACUCCUACGGGAGGC